rnacentral:miRNA from 10 species
AAAACAGAGUGGCCAGUUAAAUUUGAAUUUCAGAUGAAUAAAUUUUUUUAGUAUGAAUAUGUACCAUGCAAAUGUUUGGGACAUACUUAUACUAAAAAUGAUUCAUUGUUUAUCUGAAAUCCAAAUUUAACUGGGCAUUCUGUACUUU